GGAUGGCGGCAGCUACCAUGCAAGUCGAGCGGUAACAGAUCCAGCUUGCUGGAUGCUGACGAGCGGCGGACGGGUGAGUAAUGCAUAGGAAUCUGCCCGAUAGUGGGGGAUAACCUGGGGAAACCCAGGCUAAUACCGCAUACGUCCUACGGGAGAAAGGGGGCUUCGGCUCCCGCUAUCGGAUGAGCCUAUGUCGGAUUAGCUAGUUGGUGAGGUAACGGCUCACCAAGGCCACGAUCCGUAGCUGGUCUGAGAGGAUGAUCAGCCACAUCGGGACUGAGACACGGCCCGAACUCCUACGGGAGGCAGCAGUGGGGAAUAUUGGACAAUGGGGGGAACCCUGAUCCAGCCAUGCCGCGUGUGUGAAGAAGGCCCUCGGGUUGUAAAGCACUUUCAGCGAGGAAGAACGCCUAGCGGUUAAUACCCGCUAGGAAAGACAUCACUCGCAGAAGAAGCACCGGCUAACUCCGUGCCAGCAGCCGCGGUAAUACGGAGGGUGCAAGCGUUAAUCGGAAUUACUGGGCGUAAAGCGCGCGUAGGUGGCUUGAUAAGCCGGUUGUGAAAGCCCCGGGCUCAACCUGGGAACGGCAUCCGGAACUGUCAAGCUAGAGUGCAGGAGAGGAAGGUAGAAUUCCCGGUGUAGCGGUGAAAUGCGUAGAGAUCGGGAGGAAUACCAGUGGCGAAGGCGGCCUUCUGGACUGACACUGACACUGAGGUGCGAAAGCGUGGGUAGCAAACAGGAUUAGAACCC
rnacentral:rRNA from 1 species